UACGGGAGGCAGCAGUGGGGAAUAUUGCACAAUGGGCGCAAGCCUGAUGCAGCCAUGCCGCGUGUAUGAAGAAGGCCUUCGGGUUGUAAAGUACUUUCAGUCGUGAGGAAGGUGUUAAGGUUAAUAACCUUAGCAAUUGACGUUAGCGACAGAAGAAGCACCGGCUAACUCCGUGCCAGCAGCCGCGGUAAUACGGAGGGUGCGAGCGUUAAUCGGAAUUACUGGGCGUAAAGGGCACGCAGGCGGUUAAUUAAGUUGGAUGUGAAUCCCCGGGCUUAACCUGGGAAUGGCAUUCAAGACUGGUUAGCUAGAGUCUUGUAGAGGGGGUAGAAUUCCGAUGUGUAGCGGUGAAAUGCGUAGAGAUGUGGAGGAAUACCGGUGGCGAAGGCGGCCCCUGGGACAAGACUGACGCUCAUGUGCGAAAGCGUGGGGAGCAAACAGGAUUAGAUACC
rnacentral:rRNA from 1 species